AAGUCGUAACAAGGUUUCCGUAGGUGAACCUGCGGAAGGAUCAUUACCAAAGUAAAUUCACUUACCACUUGUGAACCGAGUCUAAGUCCUUGGGGGAGAUGUGAAAUUUGAAGGGAAAAUGUGUGUUGCGAGGGGUUCUCCCCCCCCGCUCCCCACGUUCUCCCAUCUCUUUUCCUCUCCCCCAGCGGGGUGCCCGCCAUGCGCUUGCGUUCGGUGGUCUACAUCUUGCAAAUGUAUUUAAACCACAUGUGUUCAGUUUAAAUUGGUUGUAUAGUAUACCUUUUCUCUUUUUGAGAAAUCAAAAAGUAAUGACAACUUUUAACGGUGGAUCUCUUGGCUCGU
rnacentral:misc_RNA from 1 species